rnacentral:rRNA from 1 species
UACGGAGGGUGCAAGCGUUAUCCGGAUUCACUGGGUUUAAAGGGUGCGUAGGCGGGCAGGUAAGUCAGAGGUGAAAUCUCCGGGCUUAACCCGGAAACUGCCUUUGAUACUAUCUGUCUUGAAUAUGGUGGAGGUAAGCGGAAUAUGUCAUGUAGCGGUGAAAUGCUUAGAGAUGACAUAGAACACCUAUUGCGAAGGCAGCUGACUACGCCUAUAUUGACGCUGAGGCACGAAAGCGUGGGGAUCAAACAGG